rnacentral:sRNA from 1 species
GGAUGUGAGGCAAUCUGGCUGCAACAUGUCACCACAUGGAUUGCCAGGGUUGAUUCGCCUGAUUUGGCUGGCCAGGUGAGUGUCCCCUUUCUCACUCAUCACUCUAUGUGCAUCCUUCCCAAAGCUUAUUACGUCCCUGAAUCAAGAAUAUGGGUGUGUCCUGCACACCUGGUGUUUAUUUCAGAAGCAUGUAAAAUGCAUGGAGUGACCCAUAAAAUGCACAUGGUUCCAGGAGCCACUGCUGAGUUGUGGCAUAUAGGCAGGACAUGAUGACCCUAGUGAAGUGGCUGGUGAAGACAUUG